ACACAUUGCUACUCAAUCUGUAUUCAUCUUGUGACUUCUCCUUGGAAGAAGGAGAGAGGGACUCUAGGAGGGACAUAAAGGAGUUGAUGAAAUCCUGUUAAGACAUAGACAAUCAGAUGGUAUGGCCUCUGAGGACCCCCAAGACCAACUGGAUGAGGCUAUUAAAAAGGCAGAAUGGCUUGCUAAGGAGCUCAUCCAAGAGAAGGACCUACAAGCCCAAAUGGAAGUGGCCAUUAACGAUGCAAAAAGGCUGGCUAAGGAGCUCAACCCAGAACCGCUCCAAGGGACAGUACAUCAAGAGCCAGACCAGUGCAAACUUUUGGGCCAGUCACUGAGGAGGAAGAAUCAGAGACAAGGACCAGUGGAUUGGAAUCGACUCCAGUUUUUAGCAUUGAUGAAGAAAUAGCCAUUGAACUCCAUAGCUAUUUUAAAAUCACUAAUAGCCUCAUGGUGACAUUCCUGAGCAGUUUCCUUCCUGCCCUGCAGCUCAGUUCAGAAUGACGACUGUAUCUUUGAUGUGUCUGGGUGGU